rnacentral:lncRNA from 1 species
UGGCAGUAAGAUAUAACAAAGAACCUAGCCUCUAUAAAGCUUUGAAUCAACAGACUUACCAUGUUCAUUCUUAUCUAAUUUACAGGAAGAGGUUAUAAGAAUACUUACACUUUUAGAACUCUCCAUCCCAAUUUUUUUUAAUAAUUCUCUUGUAUACUUAUUUUGGGUGAUGGAGAUCCCUUCAUUUGCUUGAUCUGGAGUUUGAGAAAGAAUGUGGGUUCUUCCAUCAUGCUCAUCUCGAACUCCCCCCGCAUAAACUUGGUAAAUUCUUUACACAAAACUUCAUUAGUAGAUCCAAAUAUAAUAUCAUCAACAUAUAUUUGUAUAACUAGUAUCUUUUCAUCUUUUUUUUUAUAAAAAAAUUUGUACUUAUUUUUUUUAAAAAAAUUUAUUUUUUAAUAAAAAAUUACUUAGUUUUUCAUACCAAGCCCUAGGAGCUUAUUUCAAACC